rnacentral:rRNA from 1 species
AUUUUGAACUGCAUGGUUCGAAAUUGAAAGGCGGCUUCGGCUGUCACUUAUGGAUGGACCCGCGUCGCAUUAGCUAGUUGGUGAGGUAACGGCUCACCAAGGCAACGAUGCGUAGCCGACCUGAGAGGGUGAUCGGCCACACUGGGACUGAGACACGGCCCAGACUCCUACGGGAGGCAGCAGUAGGGAAUCUUCCGCAAUGGACGAAAGUCUGACGGAGCAACGCCGCGUGAGUGAUGAAGGCUUUCGGGUCGUAAAACUCUGUUGUUAGGGAAGAACAAGUGCUAGUUGAAUAAGCUGGCACCUUGACGGUACCUAACCAGAAAGCCACGGCUAACUACGUGCCAGCAGCCGCGGUAAUACGUAGGUGGCAAGCGUUAUCCGGAAUUAUUGGGCGUAAAGCGCGCGC